GAUGAAGAACGCAGUGAAAUGCGAUAAGUAAUGUGAAUUGCAGAAUUCAGUGAAUCAUCGAAUCUUUGAACGCACCUUGCGCCCUUUGGCUAUUCCGAAGGGCAUGCCUGUUUGAGUAUCAUGAACACCUCAACCCUCAUGGUUUGCCAUGAUGGGCUUGGACUUUGGGGGUCUUGCUGGAUUGUAGUCAGCUCCCCUUAAAUGAAUCAGCUUGCCAGUGUUUGGUGGCAUCACAGGUGUGAUAAAUAUCUACGCUUGUGGUUUUACAUCAGAUAACCUUCAGUGAUGGAGGUUCACUGGAGCUCAUAAAGGUGUCUCUCCUCUGUGAGGACAGCUCUUUGAAUGUUUGAUCUCAAAUCAGGCAGGACUACCCGCUGAACUUAAGCAUAUCAAUAAGCGGAGGA
rnacentral:misc_RNA from 1 species